UACGUAGGGUGCAAGCGUUGUCCGGAAUUAUUGGGCGUAAAGAGCUCGUAGGCGGUUUGUCACGUCGGAUGUGAAACCCCGGGGCUCAACCCCGGGCCUGCAUUCGAUACGGGCAGACUAGAGUUCGGCAGGGGAGACUGGAAUUCCUGGUGUAGCGGUGAAAUGCGCAGAUAUCAGGAGGAACACCGGUGGCGAAGGCGGGUCUCUGGGCCGAUACUGACGCUGAGGAGCGAAAGCGUGGGGAGCAAACAGG
rnacentral:rRNA from 1 species